rnacentral:tRNA from 1 species
GUGGGCAUAGCUCAGUCGGUAGAGCAUCUGAUUGUGGUUCAGAAGGUCGCGUGUUCGAAUCACGUUGCCCACC